rnacentral:rRNA from 1 species
GUGAGGAAUAUUGCACAAUGGGCGCAAGCCUGAUGCAGCAACGCCGCGUGGGUGAAGAAGGUUUUCGGAUCGUAAAGCCCUUUUCUUGGUGACGAGCAAGGACGGUAGCCAAGGAAUAAGUGUCGGCUAACUACGUGCCAGCAGCCGCGGUAAAACGUAGGACGCAAGCGUUAUCCGGAAUUACUGGGCGUAAAGCGCGCGCAGGCGGGCUGACAAGUCAUGCGUGAAAGCUCCCGGCUAAACUGGGAGAGGACGGAUGAAACUGUUAGUCUUGAGAGUGGCAGAGGCGUGUGGAAUUCCGCGUGUAGUGGUGAAAUGCGUAGAGAUGCGGAGGAACACCAGAGGCGAAGGCGGCACGCUGGGUCACAACUGACGCUGAGGCGCGAAAGCAUGGGUAGCGAACGGGAUUAGAAACCCUGGUAGUCC